AUACGUAGGGGGGCUAGCGUUAUCCGGAAUUAUUGGGCGUAAAGAGCGCGCAGGUGGUUGAUUAAGUCUGAUGUGAAAGCCCACGGCUUAACCGUGGAGGGUCAUUGGAAACUGGUCGACUUGAGUGCAGAAGAGGGAAGUGGAAUUCCAUGUGUAGCGGUGAAAUGCGUAGAGAUAUGGAGGAACACCAGUGGCGAAGGCGGCUUCCUGGUCUGUAACUGACACUGAGGCGCGAAAGCGUGGGGAGC
rnacentral:rRNA from 1 species